rnacentral:rRNA from 1 species
UACGGAGGGUGCAAGCGUUAUCCGGAUUUACUGGGUUUAAAGGGCGCGUAGGCGGGCGCGAAAGUCAGGGGUGAAAUCCCACGGCCCAACCGUGGAAGUGCCUCUGAUACUGCGUGCCUGGAGGGAGGUAGGGGCGUGCGGAACUUCCGGUGGAGCGGUGAAAUGCGUAGAUAUCGGAAGGAACACCGAUGGCGAAAGCAGCGCGCUGGACCUCUUCUGACGCUGAGGCGCGAAAGCCAGGGGAGCGAACGGG